rnacentral:rRNA from 1 species
UACGAGAGGUCCAAGCGUUAGUCGGAAUCACUGGGCUUAAAGGGUGCGUAGGCGGGCCUGUAAGUGCUUUGUGAAAUCCCAUGGCUCAACCAUGGAAUCGCAGGGCAUACUGCGGGUCUUGAGGAAUCUAGAGGCCGGUGGAACGAUAGGUGGAGCGGUGGAAUGCGUAGAUAUCUAUCGGAACGCCAAAGGUGAAGACAGCCGGCUGGGGAUUUCCUGACGCUGAGGCACGAAAGCGUGGGGAU